GUCACGCACUCCAACCGCUGCAAGAGCAGGAGAAGCAGCAGAAGAAGAAGCAGAAAACGCAGUCCCGCUCUCCUCCUCCUCCUGCUUUUCAGCAUCUCUCUCUCUCUCUGUACCUCCAUGAAAUUGACUCCUUCCCCUGCCUUUCUCUCUCUAGAACCGUGACAGACCCGCCAUCCUCCUUCCCUCUCUUUCUCUCUCUUCCCUCUGAAAAGUGAGAACCCACCUUGGGAGCCCUCCCAUGGAGAGAAAGCAGGGCUUCUUCUCCGCCCUCAAGGACGAGGUGGUCCGCGGCCUCUCCCCCUCCCGCCGCCGCCCCCUCCUCCCGCCCCGCCAGCCCCUCCCGCCACGCCUCCCCCAUUUCCGCCCUGCUCCGCCGCGGCCGCGGCCGCCACGCCAAGGCGGCGGCUGGGUGGGGGGCCCCGCCGCCGCAGCCGCCGCCGCCCGAGCUGGCGAUCGUCCCGAGAUCCGGGAGCCUGACGCCGUUGAUGGAGGGCCCGGAUCCGGAGGGCGACCCGAAGAGGUGGGGCGGGAACGGCGGGUCGGGCCUGGGGCAGUGGGUGAAGGGCCAGCUCGGGAGGGCUCCGCCGGUGAGCUCCUCGUCGUCGUCGUCGUCGCCGGCGGCGUCGUCGUCGGCGUCGGCGUCGUCGGGGAAGAGGAGCGACGUGAGGAUGCUGAUUGGGGUGAUGGGCGCGCCGCUCGCCCGGUGCAUGUUAGCGUCCUCGACCCUCUGCCUCACCUCAGCGUCAAGGACACUCCUAUCGAAACGUCAUCUGCUCAAUACAUACUGCAACAGUACACAGCUGCAUCAGGUGGUCUAAAGCUCCAGAACUCCAUCCGAAAUGCCUAUGCAUUAGGAAAGUUGAAGAUGGUGAGUUCGGAGUUUGAAAGUGCAAUGAAGGCUAUAAAAAACCGGAGUUCUGCACAUACAGGUGGUUUCGUGCUCUGGCAGAUGAACCCAGAUAUGUGGUACGUGGAGCUCGCAGUUGGUGGAAGUAAGGUCCAUGCUGGCUGUAACGGGAAACUCGUUUGGAGGCAUACUCCCUGGCUAGGCGCUCACACUGCAAAGGGGCCCGUAAGACCACUGCGCCGCGCCCUCCAGGGUCUUGACCCAAGAACCACGGUGAGUCUGUUUUCUGAUGCAAGAUGCAUUGGUGAGAAGAGGCUUAAUGGUGAGGACUGUUUUAUCCUGAAGCUAUGCGCUGACCCCCAGACAUUAAAGGCGAGGAGUGAGGGGCCUGCCGAGAUCAUAAGACACGUUCUGUUUGGCUAUUUCAGCCAGAAAACGGGACUCCUCGUCCGCAUCGAGGAUUCCCAUCUUACUCGUAUCCAAAUGAAUGGUGGAGAUGCUGCGUACUGGGAAACCACCAUCACUUCAUCCCUUGAUGACUACAGGCCCGUCGAAGGAAUCAUGAUUGCACAUGCAGGACGGUCAGUAGUGACCGUUUUCAGGUUUGGGGAGAUGGCAAUGAGCCAUACAAAAACUAGGAUGGAAGAAACUUGGACGAUCGAGGAGGUUGCAUUCAACAUUGCGGGCCUAUCAAUUGACUGCUUCAUCCCCCCUGCAGAUUUGAGAUCCGGUCCCAUCGGUGAAUCAUGUGAACUCACACAGGACACUGGGGGUAAAAGUAUGAUCCCACAGGCAUCACAUCGAGCGAGGGUAGCUGCUCUAGAGAAAGCGCACGACAGCAACGUUGAUGGUGUGAUCUGGAAGAUGGAAGUAUGAGAAUGAGUAGGACCGGAUUAGGGCAAACUGUUCAUACUAUGAGUUGCUAACCACAAAAGACUCACAAGUUAGGGAUUGAUUCAGACGGUUGGGUAUGCAUCUUUCGAUUUGUAAAUAUAGGAUGAUCAAUUGCAGGUCAAGUUCUGGGCCAAGUGAACCUUUUUUCCCCCUCCAUGUAGAAUCUGACGGGGUGCCGGAGUUCUGCGUACCCGGUCGGAAUAGAGCCGAUGGAGGUUGUUUUUUUGGGGUUUGCCUAACAUUAACGGACGUCGGGUUUUAAUUAGAUGGAGCUUUUGUAAAGCUGAACCAUUUGACAUUUUAUUAGUCUUACGAAUGGCAUGGCCUACAUGAGAGGCAUCAGUGAUGGUAAGCAAAAAUUAUCUCCCUGGUGAGAUUAUCUUGA